ACUCAAAGGAAUUGACGGGGGCUCACACAAGCGGUGGAGCAUGUGGCUUAAUUCGAGGCUACGCGAAGAACCUUAUCCUGGGCUUGACAUGUGCGAAAGCGGUGGGCAGUAGGGGGCGGAAACGUUCCCCCAACGGUAUCCAGUCCGGAACCCACUACAGGUGCUGCAUGGCUGUCGUCAGCUCGUGUCGUGAGAUGUUGGGUUAAGUCCCGUAACGAGCGAAACCCUUGUUUCCAGUUGCCAGCGCGUCACGGCGGGGACUCUGGAAAGACUGCCGGUGUUAAACCGGAGGAAGGUGGGGAUGACGUCAAGUCCUCAUGGCCUUGAUGCCCAGGGCUGCACACGUGCUACAAUGCCGUGAACAAAGGGACGCCAACCCGCGAGGGGGAGCCAAUCCCAAAAAACACGGCCCAGUUCAGAUCGAAGGCUGCAACUCGCCUUCGUGAAGUUGGAAUCGCUAGUAAUCGCAGGUCAGCAACACUGCGGUGAAUGUGUUCCUGAGCCUUGUACACACCGCCCGU
rnacentral:rRNA from 1 species